CCGUGAUAAAGUAGCAUAAUCAUUUGUCACUUAAUUAGUGACUGGAAUGAAUGGUUGAACGAAUCUUCCACUGUCUCAAUAAGAGAUUCUAUAAAAUUGGAAUUGUAGUGAAGAUACUACAAAUAAAUUGCAAGACGAAAAGACCCUAUUGAGCUUUACUGGAUACUUGUAACAACAAUAAACAAUAUUAAUUUAUAUUUUUUAUAAACAAUGCAAGUAAGACAGUUUGGUUGGGGCGACCACCCUUAAAAUAGUAACAAGGGAGAUCUAAAGGUUAACAAAAUGUAUAAAAACCUAACUGAAUUAAUAACAGUUUAAACAGACACAAAAGUGUGGGACAUAAUGACCCGCUUAAUAAAAUUAAAAAAUAAGCGAUUACGGAAAAAGUUACCAUAGGGAUAACAGGGUAAUAUUUUCAAAGAGUUCUAAUCGAUGAAAAU
rnacentral:rRNA from 1 species